rnacentral:rRNA from 1 species
AGAGCGAACGCUGUCGCUGGCCUAAAACAUGCAAGUUCGAGCGGGUCCCUUCUGGACUAGCGGCGGAACGGGUGAUUCAACGCGUGGGAACGUGCCCUUUGGUAUCGGUAACAACUGAGGGAAACUUCAGGCUAAUACCGUAUGUGCCCUUCCGGGGGAAAGGAUUUAUCGCCCAUUGGAAGCGGCCCGCGUUGGAUUUAGGUAGUUGGUUGAGGUAAAAGGCUCACCCAUUGCCUACCAAUCCAUAGCUGGUCUGAGAGGAUGACCAGCCCACACUUGGGACUGAGACACGGCCCAGACUCCUACCGGGAGGCAGGCAGUAGGGAAUCUUGCGCAAUGGGGGAAAGCCUGACGCAGCCAUGCCGCGUGAAUGAUGAAGGGUCUUAGGAUUGUAAAAUUCUUUCACCGGGGACGAUAAUGACGGUACCCGGUAGAAGAAGCCCCGGCUAACUUCGUGCCAGCAGCCGCGGUAAUACGAAGGGGGCUAGCGUUGCUCGGAAUUACUGGGCGAUAAAGGGAGCGUAGGCUGGAUAGUUUAGUCAGAGGUGAAAGCCCAGGGCUUCAACCUUGGAACUGCCUUUUGAUACUGGCUAUCUUGAGUUAUGGGAGAGGUGAGUGGAAACUCUCGAGUGUAGAGGUGAAAUUUCGUAGAUAUUCCGGAAGAACACCAGUUGGCGAAAGGCGCACUCACUGGCCCAUUACUGCACGCUGAGGCUCGAAAGCCGUGGCGGAGCAAACAGGAUUAGAUACCCUGGUAGUCCACCGCCGCUAAACGAUGAGUGCUAGUUGUCGGCAUGCAUCAUGUCGGUGAACGCCGCUAACGCAUUAAGCAUCUCCCCCUGGGGAAUACCGUCAAGCAA